rnacentral:rRNA from 1 species
UACGAAGGGUGCAAGCGUUACUCGGAAUUACUGGGCGUAAAGCGUGCGUAGGUGGUGAGUUAAGUCUGAUGUGAAAUCCCCGGGCUCAACCUGGGAAUGGCAUUGGAUACUGGCUCGCUAGAGUGCGGUAGAGGGUGGUGGAAUUCCCGGUGUAGCAGUGAAAUGCGUAGAGAUCGGGAGGAACAUCUGUGGCGAAAGCGACUUCCUGGACCAGUACCGACGUUCAGGCACGAAAGCGUGGGGAGCAAACAGG